rnacentral:rRNA from 1 species
AACGUCCGUAGUCAAGAGGAAAACAAUCCAGACCGCCAGCUAAGGCCCCAAAAUCAUAGUUAAGUGGGAAACGAUGUGGGAAGGCAUAGACAGCUAGGAGGUUGGCUUAGAAGCAGCCACCCUUUAAAGAAAGCGUAAUAGCUCACUAGUCGAGUCGGCCUGCGCGGAAGAUGUAACGGGGCUAAAACUAUGUGCCGAAGCUGCGGAUUUGACAUUAGUCAAGUGGUAGGGGAGCGUUCUGUAAGCCGAUGAAGGUGUAUUGAGAAGUAUGCUGGAGGUAUCAGAAGUGCGAAUGCUGACGUGAGUAACGACAAAACGGGUGAAAAACCCGUUCGCCGAAAGACCAAGGGUUCCAGUCCAACGUUAAUCGGGGCUGGGUGAGUCGACCCCUAAGGCGAGGCCGAAAGGCGUAGUCGAUGGGAAAAUGGUUAAUAUUCCAUUACUUCUGUGUAAUGCGAUGAGAGGACGGAGAAGGCUAAAUCAGCCUGGCGUUGGUUGUCCAGGUGAAAGGAUGUAGGCAUGUAUCUUAGGCAAAUCCGGGGUACUCUAUGCUGAGAUCUGAUAGCAAGCUGUACUUGUACAGCGAAGUGGUUGAUGCCAUGCUUCCAGGAAAAGUCUCUAAGCUUCAGUUACACAGGAAUCGUACCCGAAACCGACACAGGUGGUCAGGUCGAGUAGACCAAGGCGCUUGAGAGAACUCUGCUGAAGGAACUAGGCAAAAUGGUACCGUAACUUCGGGAGAAGGUACGCUGUUGUUGGUGAUGGAACUCGCUUCCUGAGCUGACGACAGCCGCAGAAACCAGGCCGCUGCAACUGUUUAUUAAAAACAUAGCACUCUGCAAACACGAAAGUGGACGUAUAGGGUGUGAUGCCUGCCCGGUGCUGGAAGGUUAAUUGAUGGGGUUAGCGUAAGCGAAGCUCUUGAUCGAAGCCCCAGUAAACGGCGGCCGUAACUAUAACGGUCCUAAGGUAGCGAAAUUCCUUGUCGGGUAAGUUCCGACCUGCACGAAUGGCAUAAUGAUGGCGGCGCUGUCUCCAGCAGAGGCUCAGUGAAAUCGAAAUCGCUGUGAAGAUGCAGUGUACCCGCGGCUAGACGGAAAGACCCCGUGAACCUUUACUGCAGCUUGACACUGAACUUUGACCUUACUUGUGUAGGAUAGGUGGGAGGCUUUGAAGCUGGAACGCUAGUUCCAGUGGAGCCGUCCUUGAAAUACCACCCUGGUAAUGUUGAGGUUCUAACUCUGUCCCGUGAUCCGGGACGAGGACCGUGUCUGGUGGGUAGUUUGACUGGGGCGGUCUCCUCCUAAAGAGUAACGGAGGAGUACGAAGGUGCGCUCAGCGUGGUCGGAAAUCACGCGUAGAGUAUAAAGGCAAAAGCGCGCUUAACUGCGAGACCCACAAGUCGAGCAGGUACGAAAGUAGGUCUUAGUGAUCCGGUGGUUCUGUAUGGAAGGGCCAUCGCUCAACGGAUAAAAGGUACUCUGGGGAUAACAGGCUGAUACCGCCCAAGAGUUCAUAUCGACGGCGGUGUUUGGCACCUCGAUGUCGGCUCAUCUCAUCCUGGGGCUGAAGCAGGUCCCAAGGGUAUGGCUGUUCGCCAUUUAAAGAGGUACGCGAGCUGGGUUUAGAACGUCGUGAGACAGUUCGGUCCCUAUCUACCGUGGGCGCUGGAAAUUUGAGAGGAUCUGCUCCUAGUACGAGAGGACCAGAGUGGACGAACCUCUGGUGUACCGGUUGUGACGCCAGUCGCAUCGCCGGGUAGCUAUGUUCGGAAGGGAUAACCGCUGAAAGCAUCUAAGCGGGAAGCCUACCUCAAGAUAAGAUUUCCCUAGGACUUUAUGUCCUCUAAAGAGCCGUUCGAGACUAGGACGUUGAUAGGUUGGAUGUGGAAGCAUAGUGAUAUGUGAAGCUGACCAAUACUAAUUGCUCGUGAGGCUUGACUAU